GAAGUGCGAUAAGUAGUGUGAAUUGCAGAAUUUCGUGAAUCAUCGAAUCUUUGAACGCAAAUUGCACUUUCUGGUAUUCCAGAAAGUAUGCCUGUUUGAGGGUCAAUUAAAUAAAAUCAGGCGUUUUUACUGUCCGGAAUUGGGUCGUCAUAACUUCGGUUAAGUGACUUAAAAUUUUGUAUGAUUUUUACAAACGUAUUUAAAAUAUUUUUGUACGUUUUUGUAAUUAUUCAGUGUUUAUUAGAUGUGGUCAUUUUUAUGGUUCGCGUCUAUAAUUUCUCAUCUAUUGACCUCAAAUCAGGUAAGAAUACCUGCUGAACUUAA
rnacentral:misc_RNA from 1 species